UACGUAGGGUGCAAGCGUUAAUCGGAAUUACUGGGCGUAAAGCGUGCGCAGGCGGUUUUGUAAGACAGGCGUGAAAUCCCCGGGCUCAACCUGGGAAUUGCGCUUGUGACUGCAAAGCUGGAGUGCGGCAGAGGGGGAUGGAAUUCCGCGUGUAGCAGUGAAAUGCGUAGAUAUGCGGAGGAACACCGAUGGCGAAGGCAAUCCCCUGGGCCUGCACUGACGCUCAUGCACGAAAGCGUGGGGAGCAAACAGG
rnacentral:rRNA from 3 species